rnacentral:rRNA from 1 species
UACUCCUACGGGAGGCAGCAGUAGGGAAUCUUCGGCAAUGGACGGAAGUCUGACCGAGCAACGCCGCGUGAGUGAAGAAGGUUUUCGGAUCGUAAAGCUCUGUUGUAAGAGAAGAACGAGUGUGAGAGUGGAAAGUUCACACUGUGACGGUAUCUUACCAGAAAGGGACGGCUAACUACGUGCCAGCAGCCGCGGUAAUACGUAGGUCCCGAGCGUUGUCCGGAUUUAUUGGGCGUAAAGCGAGCGCAGGCGGUUAGAUAAGUCUGAAGUUAAAGGCUGUGGCUUAACCAUAGUACGCUUUGGAAACUGUUUAACUUGAGUGCAAGAGGGGAGAGUGGAAUUCCAUGUGUAGCGGUGAAAUGCGUAGAUAUAUGGAGGAACACCGGUGGCGAAAGCGGCUCUCUGGCUUGUAACUGACGCUGAGGCUCGAAAGCGUGGGGAGCAAACAGGAUUAGAUACCCUGGUAGUCCACGCCGUAAACGAUGAGUGCUAGGUGUUAGACCCUUUCCGGGGUUUAGUGCCGCAGCUAACGCAUUAAGCACUCCGCCUGGGGAGUACGACCGCAAGGUUGAAACUCAAAGGAAUUGACGGA